GCGUCGCUGUGUCAGUGUUGCUCGUUUCACCGGUCCCUUGUUGCACUGUGUUCUCCGCAUGCAUACCUGUGUGUCCUGCAGGUUGGCGGCGUGACGCUCUGUGACCGCCGCACGUGACGCCGCAGUGGUCAACCGGGGCUGUCAGCUGAUCAUCGGAGCGUGCUCCUGUGGCUGCCUGCUGGUUAACUUCGUCCUCAGAGUGACAGCAUCCAGGAAGUACGUCAAUGAGGAAAGUGUGUCGCUCCGCCUCAAGCCUCUGCGCACGGGUUUUGGCUCCAAGGCUUCCGGAGAGCUCGGCCGUGACGUUCGCCAGACGCCCUACAACGGUUGCCACGGAAACAUCACAAAAGAUGCAGCUACUAACAACUUCUUUUCUACGAAUACAAAGACUAAUUACUCCUUUCACACAAAUUCCUGCUUUGCUAUAUCUUUUAAAAUUUACGGUAUACUCUUUUUAUCUGAACACCCGAUGACGCUACGCAAGCUUUAUGAUGGAGCCGUUCAGUGGACGCGUUUCAAAUCGUUCUUCCCUGCAACCAGAGCCUCACAAACCCGCACGCCGCCCCAUGAUCAAUACAGAGGAAGAAAAAUAAAAAUAAAAAUACUGAGCUUUGAACAUGUCGAGAGAACUUGAACCAAAAAGUACUCUCUGUAAUCGCAGGGAAGAAAAAAACAUGAGUACGUUACAUCAGAUUUACAUGAAAAUAAAACGCACGACGCCGGUUUAUAUGACAAAAAAAGGAUGAGAGUUAGAUGGCAAAUGGUGCAGUUUAACAUGAAAAUAAACAAAUCGUCGUCGGUUGUUCACCCUUUGUCUUACUUACCUUUAUACAAGUGUCCAAGAGGCGAGUGUGCAGACAAGGCCACAGGACAUAAAGCUCGGCAACUCCCUGCGCAGGUGACGCCUUUGGACACAGGCUGAAGGGAGGCACGACAAGGAUACUCCACUCAAGUCCGUCUGCUGCAACACUUAUCUGAAAAAGAAUAGUCGUGUGAAAAGUAUAAAAUCUACUGCUAAAAAGUUAUAUAAAUUCAUCGACACCGAACGAUUGAAUUUCCUCGAAUACUAAAUAGUUGUUUUAAAGAGAUAUAAUGUAUUGCU